rnacentral:rRNA from 1 species
GACGAACGCUGGCGGUGUGCUUCAUACAUGCAAGUCGAACGAGAAGCUGACUUCGGUCAGUGGAAAGUGGCGGACGGGUGAGUAAUAUGUAGGAAAUCUGCCUUAGAGCGGGGGACAACAGAGGGAAACUUCUGCUAAUACCCCAUAUGAGCUACCUUGUAAUAGGUAUCUUGAAAACUCCGGUGCUCUAAGAUGAGCCUGCAUCUGAUUAGCUUGUUGGUGGGGUAGUGGCCUACCAAGGCGACGAUCAGUAGCUGGUUUGAGAGGAUGAUCAGCCACAAUGGGACUGAGACACGGCCCAUACUCCUGCGGGAGGCAGCAGUAGGGAAUUUUGCGCAAUGGGCGAAAGCCUGACGCAGCAACACCGCGUGAACGAUUAAGCCCUUCGGGGUGUAAAGUUCUGUCAGUGGGGACGAAAUUUGACGGUACCCACAGAGGAAGCACCGGCUAACUCCGUGCCAGCAGCCGCGGUAAUACGGAGGGUGCAAGCGUUGUCCGGAAUCAUUGGGCGUAAAGAGUUCGUAGGUGGUAUGUUAAGUCUGGUGUUAAAGGCAGAAGCUCAACUUCUGUAAGGCACUGGAUACUGGCAAACUUGAAUGUGGUAGAGGUAAAGGGAAUUCCUGGUGUAGCGGUGAAAUGCGUAGAUAUCAGGAGGAACAUCGGUGGCGAAAGCGCUUUACUGGGCCAUUAUUGACACUGAGGAACGAAAGCCGGGGUAGCAAAUGGGAUUAGAUACCCCAGUAGUCCCGGCCGUAAACGAUGGAUGCUAGGUGUUGCGGGUAUCGACCCCUGCAGUGCCAUAGUUAACGCGAUAAGCAUCCCGCCUGGGGAGUACGCACGCAAGUGUG